rnacentral:rRNA from 1 species
UACGUAGGGUGCAAGCGUUAAUCGGAAUUACUGGGCGUAAAGCGUGCGCAGGCGGUUUUGUAAGACAGGCGUGAAAUCCCCGGGCUCAACCUGGGAAUUGCGCUUGUGACUGCAUAGCUAGAGUACGGCAGAGGGGGAUGGAAUUCCGCAUGUAGCAGUGAAAUGCGUAGAUAUGCGGAGGAACACCGAUGGCGAAGGCAAUCCCCUGGGCCUGUACUGACGCUCAUGCACGAAAGCGUGGGGAGCAAACAGG